rnacentral:tRNA from 1 species
UACCACUUAGCAGGUUCC